UAGCCUUACAGUUAAUUUUUAGGUGCUCUAAUUUUAGACUGUAUCUAGGCAGCCAGACCCUGAGCUGCUGCCAGCAUCCAAAAUCUGGCUUUGCUCAGUGACUUGCAUGAAUCCUCCUGUCUUGCAGGGAGAAGCGAGGGUGCGCCUGGGCCAAAUUUUCUUCCCCUUGUGAAAAGAGGCGGGCGCGCAGCUUCAGAGGAGAAGCUCUCCUCAUUUCUUUGCCUCUUUCCUGGGAUCGUGGAUGAAAACGCCCAGGAAUGAGCCUGCACACGCCUGAGGUGCCCACGUUACCUUCAGAAAUCGCUCUGGAGAAAAGGUUUUGCAAAGCUCUGCUGUGCAAACAUCCCCUUCCCAGGCAAAUUCUUUGAGGGACAAAACUGAUAAAUACCUGUGAGAUAA